UGAGCAUUGAUUAGCCGCUUCGUUCACGAUGCACUAUGUGUGAGAAUUGGCUGCAGCCUUUGUUUAUUUUUGCCCAGUUGUUGUAGUAUAUUGCACUGAUUUGGAUUUUUGCCCAAUCUUCAAGAUGCAGUGAUUUGGAUUUUUGCCCAAUCUUCAAGCUGCAGUGAUUCCUUUCAGUUGCUGUAGUAUAUUGCACUGAUUUGGAUUUUUGUUUUUGCUACAUCUGACAUUUUAUGGCCAUUUGACAUUUUAGUUAUAUUAUAAAGUUAAAACUUCAAA